UACGUAGGGUGCGAGCGUUGUCCGGAAUUAUUGGGCGUAAAGAGCGUGUAGGCGGCCAAGCAGGUCCGUUGUGAAAACUGGAGGCUUAACCUCCAGACGUCGACGGAAACCGCGCGGCUAGAGUCCGGAAGAGGAGAGUGGAAUUCCUGGUGUAGCGGUGAAAUGCGCAGAUAUCAGGAAGAACACCAAUGGCGAAGGCAGCUCUCUGGGACGGUACUGACGCUGAGACGCGAAAGCGUGGGGAGCGAACAGG
rnacentral:rRNA from 1 species